rnacentral:rRNA from 1 species
UGCAGUCGNNCGGCAGCGGGGGNNAAGCUUGCUUUUCCUGCCGGCGAGUGGCGAACGGGUGAGUAAUACAUCGGAACGUGCCCUGUAGUGGGGGAUAACUAGUCGAAAGAUUAGCUAAUACCGCAUACGACCUGAGGGUGAAAGUGGGGGACCGCAAGGCCUCAUGCUAUAGGAGCGGCCGAUGUCUGAUUAGCUAGUUGGUGGGGUAAAGGCCCACCAAGGCGACGAUCAGUAGCUGGUCUGAGAGGACGAUCAGCCACACUGGGACUGAGACACGGCCCAGACUCCUACGGGAGGCAGCAGUGGGGAAUUUUGGACAAUGGGCGAAAGCCUGAUCCAGCAAUGCCGCGUGUGUGAAGAAGGCCUUCGGGUUGUAAAGCACUUUUGUCCGGAAAGAAAUGGCUCUGGUUAAUACCUGGGGUCGAUGACGGUACCGGAAGAAUAANGNGCGGCUAACUACGUGCCAGCAGCCGCGGUAAUACGUAGGGUCCAAGCGUUAAUCGGAAUUACUGGGCGUAAAGCGUGCGCAGGCGGUUGUGCAAGACCGAUGUGAAAUCCCCGAGCUUAACUUGGGAAUUGCAUUGGUGACUGCACGGCUAGAGUGUGUCAGAGGGGGGUAGAAUUCCACGUGUAGCAGUGAAAUGCGUAGAGAUGUGGAGGAAUACCGAUGGCGAAGGCAGCCCCCUGGGAUAACACUGACGCUCAUGCACGAAAGCGUGGGGAGCAAACAGGAUUAGAUACCCUGGUAGUCCACGCCCUAAACGAUGUCAACUAGUUGUUGGGGAUUCAUUUCCUUAGUAACGUAGCUAANGCGUGAAGUUGACCGCCUGGGGAGUACGGUCGCAAGAUUAAAACUCAAAGGAAUUGACGGGGANCCG